UACGUAGGGGGCAAGCGUUGUCCGGAAUCAUUGGGCGUAAAGCGCGUGUAGGCGGCUCGAUAAGUCCGCUCUGAAAGUCCGGGGCUCAACCCCGGGAGGCGGGUGGAUACUGUCGAGCUCGAGUCCGGAAGAGGCAAGUGGAAUUCCCGGUGUAGCGGUGAAAUGCGCAGAUAUCGGGAGGAACACCAAUGGCGAAGGCAGCUUGCUGGGACGGUACUGACGCUGAGACGCGAAAGCGUGGGGAGCAAACAGG
rnacentral:rRNA from 1 species